rnacentral:rRNA from 1 species
UACGUAGGGCGCAAGCGUUGUCCGGAUUUAUUGGGCGUAAAGAGCUCGUAGGCGGUCUGUCGCGUCGGCUGUGAAACCCCGAGGCUCAACCUCGGGCCUGCAGUCGAUACGGGCAGACUAGAGUGUGGUAGGGGAGACUGGAAUUCCUGGUGUAGCGGUGAAAUGCGCAGAUAUCAGGAGGAACACCGGUGGCGAGGGCGGGUCUCUGGGCCAUAACUGACGCUGAGGAGCGAAAGCGUGGGGAGCGAACAGG